rnacentral:rRNA from 1 species
UGAACGCUAGCGACAGGCUUAACACAUGCAAGUCGAGGGGCAGCAUAAAAGUAGCAAUACUUGGUGGCGACCGGCGCACGGGUGAGUAACGCGUAUGCAACCUACCUAUCAGAGGGGAAUAACCCGGCGAAAGUCGGACUAAUACCGCAUAAAACAGGGGCACCGCAUGGUGAUAUUUGUUAAAGAAAUUCGCUGAUAGAUGGGCAUGCGUUCCAUUAGGUAGUUGGUGAGGUAACGGCUCACCAAGCCGACGAUGGAUAGGGGAACUGAGAGGUUGGUCCCCCACACUGGUACUGAGACACGGACCAGACUCCUACGGGAGGCAGCAGUGAGGAAUAUUGGUCAAUGGGCGGGAGCCUGAACCAGCCAAGUCGCCGUGAAGGAAGAAGGAUCUAUGGUUCGUAAACUUCUUUUGCAGGGGAAUAAAGUGCAGGACGUGUCCUGUUUUGUAUGUACCCUGAGAAUAAGGAUCGGCUAACUCCGUGCCAGCCGCCGC